CUGCAGGAGCUGAGGGCGUCUGAUCAGGGGAGCUACACAGUGAGGGAUCUUCAGGGAAACACCAUCAGCACUGCGAUCGUCACUGUGGAGGCUCCACUCACUCUCCCGGUCUGAGAAUUGAGAGGCUCAGAGAGACGGACUGUCCUACUGCACCACCAGAGACGGAGGAGAGAUCCCCAUCAGAAGAGGCACCAGACUGCUUACAGCUGUGUGGGGGUGAGUUCAAACUGGGAAGAGAGCCAGACUGAUACCUCGAGGAGGCAAGAGAAGUGGUCCUGUGAGGCUGCUUGUGCUCUGUGUGGGACAUCCUGAUGGUGGGUCAAGGGCAGAUGAAGGAGGUGGGUGGAAGUUGGAGCUUGCUCUUGGAUGGGUCAUAUCUACACUUCAUUACACAAAGGCUGGUGGAGGUGGGGAACAAGCUGCCCGGCCAUGUUGUUGAACCCUGGCUUCUCUCAAGAUCCUCCAGACUUGUAACUACUAACUGC